AGAGUUUGAUCAUGGCUCAGGACGAACGCUGGCGGCGUGCUUAACUCAUGCAAGUCAAGGGGGCCCGCAAGGGCAACCGGCGAACGGGUGCGUAACACGUGAGCAACCUGCCCAUCUGUGGGGGAUAGCCGGUCCAACGACCGGGUAAUACCGCAUACGUUCACCUAGGGGCAUCCCCGGGUGAGGAAAGCCUUCGGGCGCAGGUGGAGGGGCUCGCGGCCUAUCAGCUAGUUGGUGGGGUAACGGCCUACCAAGGCAACGACGGGUAGCUGGUCUGAGAGGAUGGCCAGCCACAUUGGGACUGCGACACGGCCCAGACUCCUACGGGAGGCAGCAGUGGGGAAUCUUGCGCAAUGGCCGAAAGGCUGACGCAGCGACGCCGCGUGUGGGAUGAAGCUCUUCGGGGUGUAAACCACUGUUGCCCGGGACGAACGGGCGGAUUAAUCCGCCGUGACGGUACCGGGUGAGGAAGCACCGGCUAACUCCGUGCCAGCAGCCGCGGUAAUACGGAGGGUGCGAGCGUUGUCCGGAAUCACUGGGCGUAAAGGGCGCGUAGGCGGCUCGGUAAGCGUGUGGUGAAAGCUCGGGGCUCAACCCCGAGUCGGCCGUGCGAACUGUCGAGCUGGAGCACUGUAGAGGCAGGUGGAAUUCCGGGUGUAGCGGUGGAAUGCGUAGAGAUCCGGAGGAACGCCGGUGGCGAAGGCGGCCUGCUGGGCAGUUGCUGACGCUGAGGCGCGACAGCGUGGGGAGCAAACAGGAUUAGAUACCCUGGUAGUCCACGCCGUAAACGAUGGGCACUAGGUGCUUGCGGGAGCGAGCCCGUGAGUGCCGGCGCUAACGCAUUAAGUGCCCCGCCUGGGGAGUACGGCCGCAUGGCUGAACUCAAAGGAAUUGACG
rnacentral:rRNA from 1 species